UACAUCCCAUGAUGUCCAGCACUGGGCUGUGAUCACUCCGGAGGACACAGCAUUCCUCAAGACCUUUGACACCUGGGGAUCUGAGAGAAAA
ensembl:snoRNA